rnacentral:tRNA from 1 species
UCGACGGAAAGGGUGGUCUGGGAGAGCCAGACGACCUUCUCGGGGUCGCGGACCUCGAUCGUCUCGACGCUGUCGAG